rnacentral:rRNA from 1 species
CCUACGGGUGGCAGCAGUGGGGAAUCUUCCGCAAUGGGCGAAAGCCUGACGGAGCAACGCCGCGUGAGUGAUGACGGCCUUCGGGUUGUAAAACUCUGUGAUCCGGGACGAAAAGGCAGAGUGCGAAGAACAAACUGCAUUGACGGUACCGGAAAAGCAAGCCACGGCUAACUACGUGCCAGCAGCCGCGGUAAUACGUAGGUGGCAAGCGUUGUCCGGAAUUAUUGGGCGUAAAGCGCGCGCAGGCGGCUUCCCAAGUCCCUCUUAAAAGUGCGGGGCUUAACCCCGUGAUGGGAAGGAAACUGGGGAGCUGGAGUAUCGGAGAGGAAAGUGGAAUUCCUAGUGUAGCGGUGAAAUGCGUAGAGAUUAGGAAGAACACCGGUGGCGAAGGCGACUUUCUGGACGAAAACUGACGCUGAGGCGCGAAAGCGUGGGGAGCAAACAGGAUUAGAUACCCUAGUAGUC